CUCUCACUGACACCAAGUUCAAUUACAAACCUGAUGCCAGUUUCAACACACUACCAGGUACCACAGUAUCCAUCGAAUGUAUAACAGGUUUUCUGUCCAACAAUAGAAUGGAAAUAACCCAGUCUACAUGCCAGGGCAAUGGAAGGUGGCGACCAAGUCAACCUUUAUGUGAAACCACACAUUGUCCAGAGUUAAACUCAACAACAGUGAUGACUAUACCCAGGAGUACUACUGGUAGUGGCAUUACCGUAUCAUGUAUGCUUGGUUUCCAUACUAUCUCAAUGCCGUCUUCAGUGACUUGCCAAGCUAAUGGAACAUGGACUACACUACCAUCUUGCCAAGUUAUUCCUACGGAUCCAGCCACUACCAUGGGUACGUUCUAUUCUUUUUGUUGUCUUAUCCUGCACUUGCACUGAAUGCACUGAAUCAUUUUGAAAACACACUAUGGACUCAGAUGGAGAGCCAAGGAUGAAUUUAUAUACAGAAAAAAAGGACCAAGGAAAACCGAACGCCUCAAUAAAACAGCACUGUACGUUGACUAUGACAAUUUAGAUGGACAAUAAGCAGAAACAACAUGCAGCACAGGAUGAUUGUUUCGCCGUACAGAUAAGGAUGGCUCAUCAGGUGUGCAAGAAUUGACUCGGAUGGAGAGCCAAAGAUAAAUUUCUAGAAAAGAAUAUUGCCCAAGCAACCAAGGACCAAGAUAUUAUUCAGGCGUUCAGUUUUGCAUGAUUCCUGCUCGCAUACCUUUCCCUUAAAUUUAUCUUAGCGUCUUUGCGCCACACCAGUUCCGUUUAAAGUUGCUUUCAGUCGAUGACGU